rnacentral:rRNA from 1 species
GUGCCAGCAGCCGCGGUAAUACGGAGGAUGCGAGCGUUAUCCGGAUUUAUUGGGUUUAAAGGGUGCGUAGGCGGAUUAAUAAGUCAGUGGUGAAAACCUUCAGCUUAACUGGAGACUUGCCAUUGAUACUGUUAGUCUUGAGUACGGUCAAGGUAGGCGGAAUGUGUAAUGUAGCGGUGAAAUGCUUAGAUAUUACACAGAACACCGAUUGCGAAGGCAGCUUACUGGGCCAUUACUGACGCUGAUGCACGAAAGCGUGGGGAGCGAACAGGAUUAGAUACCCUGGUAGUCCACGCCGUAAACGAUGAUCACUCGCUGUUAGCGAUACACAGUUAGCGGCUAAGCAAAAGCAUUAAGUGAUCCACCUGGGGAGUACGGCCGCAAGGCUGAA